GGUUAUUGUGUGAUGUAUAUAGGCUAACAGGACGUGUGUAUUAACAUGACCCCCCCUCCCUGAGGCUGACGAUGGUUCCGUCCAAACAUUCACCCUUUUAGCGGGAAGUGAAACAUAAAGAAAGACGGAGAAAGUUCUACUGAAAUGAGGUCAUCAAAGGUCAGAGGAAAUAAAAAGCCUCCAGUGAAGAACAGGGUGAACAAGGCCUCCCCUGAUGAACUCUGGAACGUUCCUCACACGUCUGUGACAGACACAGACACUUUGUUGGAGGAAGUGAAGCUGAAGUGUGGUGAGCCCCUCCUACACAGCACAGCCCUGGAGGAUGACCUGAUUAGGUCUGAGGAUGGAGCUGCUGCUGUGGAGGAGCUCAGAGUAGAGUUACCUGUGGAGAAGAAGAAGAGGAGGAGUCAACCUGCUCCUACUGUCAGCACACGAUUGGUUGGAAAGAAAGCAGCCAAUGGGAGGAGAGCAGAACACGCUCUAAAGUCAGCCACCAAUCAGCGAUCAAUGAAGGACAACCAAUCAGGUUCCUCUACCAGAGGCCCUCAGCCAGUGGAGAAAAGCAGAUCAAAACGUGUGAGAUCUGAUGAAGAGGAUGGAGAUGAUGAUGAAGAUCACAGAGAGAAACCCUCCUCAGGUAAGAGCUGCAGUAGACUCAGAACCUGCAAGUGCUCAGAGCAGCUGAACCUGAUGUGUGUGGAUUGGUCAGGAGGAGGUUCCUCAGAGGAGGAGGGGGGAGGAGCAGAGAUGAGGAGGAGGAGGAAGAAGACCUGUGUAUCAGAGUUAGACAGGCUUGUGGAGGCGUUCCAUCACUUCUGUGGCCUCUACAGGAAGGACGUGGAGUCCCCACAAGACCAGCACAACAUCCUCACACUGUGUGAGAACGUCACACAGCUACUGACGGAGAGGGUGUGGACUGUCUGUCUGUCUGUCUGUCUGUCUGUCUGUCUGUCUGUCUGUGUGUGUGUGUGUGUGUGUGUUCACUAUUUAUCAUCACACACUCACUGGACCACUGCACUAUUUCUUUCUUUCUUUCUUUCUUUCUUUCUUUCUUUCUUUCUUUCUUUCUUUCUUUCUUCCAGGUCUCAGCAUCUCAGGAACUCAGAGCUCUCAAAAGAGGCAACGCUAAGACAGCUUCUAUGAUCCGCUCUAAGAUAAAACGACUGUUGGAUGGAAAACAUGAGCUGAUGAAGGCUGAGGGGCUCCAUCAGCAGCUCCUACAGCAGAGAUCAGAUCUCAGUCAGAGAUUAACACACAUGAGGAGAGGAGCAGCGUUCCUCCAGGACCUCAGAGACAUCACUACUACACACCUGGACCAUGGACACACACACACACACACGUACGGAGCUGAUAGUGUGGCUGCUCUGCUGCUGGAGACCAGGAUCCAUGACAGACCUCCACCACCAGGGGGCGCUCACACCUCUGCAGGAAACCUUCACCUAUAGUCACAUGAUCAGUUCAGCUGAUCAAUAAAACAUGUUAGAGCACUUCCUGUCUGAUUCUC
rnacentral:lncRNA from 1 species